rnacentral:rRNA from 1 species
UGAGGAACAUGACCUUCGGCGGGGGAUAGCCGGCCCAACGGCCGGGUAAUACCGCGUACGACCACAUGGGGACAUCCCUGAGUGGUGAAAGCAGCAAUGCGCCGAUGGAGUGCCUCGCGGCCUAUCAGCUAGUUGGUGAGGUAACGGCUCACCAAGGCGACGACGGGUAGCUGGCCUGAGAGGAUGGCCAGCCACAUUGGAACUGAGACACGGUCCAGACCUNUACGGGAG